CAGAGAUGCUGCCUGACGGAUUUGAAAAAGGACCUUGAGGUUAAUGAACCAUUAGGAAGUAGUGACCAUAACAUGGUCAGGUUUAAUCUACAAUUGGAGAGGGAGAAGAGUAGAUCGGAGGUGUCAGCGUUACAGUUGAAUAAAGGGGACUAUGGGGCCAU